rnacentral:rRNA from 1 species
GAUGAACGCUGACAGAAUGCUUAACACAUGCAAGUCUACUUGAACUUCGGUUUGGGUGGCGGACGGGUGAGUAACGCGUAAAGAACUUACCUCACAGUUAGGGACAACAUUUGGAAACGAAUGCUAAUACCUGAUAUUAUGAUUUUAGGGCAUCCUAAGAUUAUGACAGCUAUAUGCGCUGUGAGAGAGCUUUGCGUCCCAUUAGCUAGUUGGAGAGGUAACGGCUCACCAAGGCGAUGAUGGGUAGCCGGCCUGAGAGGGUGAACGGCCACAAGGGGACUGAGACACGGCCCUUACUCCUACGGGAGGCAGCAGUGGGGAAUAUUGGACAAUGGACCAAAAGUCUGAUCCAGCAAUUCUGUGUGCACGAUGACGUUUUUCGGAAUGUAAAGUGCUUUCAGUUGGGAAGAAAAAAAUGACGGUACCAACAGAAGAAGUGACGGCUAAAUACGUG